rnacentral:rRNA from 1 species
UGGAAGCUUGCUUCCACUGGAGAAAGGAUAGUCGGCGAACGGGUGAGUAACGACGUGGGUAAACCUGCCCAUAAAGAGGGGGGAUAACCAUCCGGAAACGGGUGCUAAUACCGCAUAGUUUCUUGAUCGCAUGAUCGGGAAGGAAAGACGGCCUUUGUGCUGUCGGCUUAUGGAUGGACCCGCGGCGUAUUAGUUAGUUGGUGAGGUAACGGCUCACCAAGACGAUGAUACGUAGCCGACCUGAGAGGGUGAUCGGCCACAUUGGGACUGAGACACGGCCCAGACUCCUACGGGAGGCAGCAGUGGGGAAUAUUGGGCAAUGGGCGCAAGCCCUGACCCAGCAACGCCGCGUGAAGGAAGAAGGCUUUCGGGUUGUAAACGUUCUUUUACCAGGGACGAAGGAUGUGACGGUACCUGGAGAAAAAGCCACGGCUAACUACGUGCCAGCAGCAGC